rnacentral:rRNA from 1 species
UACGUAGGGUGCAAGCGUUAAUCGGAAUUACUGGGCGUAAAGCGUGCGCAGGCGGUUUUUGUAAGUCAGAUGUGAAAAUCCCCCGGGCUUAACCUGGGAACUGCGUUUGAAAACUACAAGGCUAGAGUGUGGCAGAGGGGGGGUGGAAUUCCACGUGUAGCAGUGAAAUGCGUAGAGAUGUGGAGGAACACCGAUGGCGAAGGCAGCCCCCCUGGGUUAACACUGACGCUCAGGCACGAAAGCGUGGGGAGCAAACAGG